rnacentral:rRNA from 1 species
GACGAACGCUGGCGGCGUGCUUAACACAUGCAAGUCGAACGGUGAAGCUCCAGCUUGCUGGUGUGGAUCAUUGGCGAACGGGUGAGUAACACGUGAGCAACCUGCCCCUGACUCUGGAAUAAGCGCUGGAAACGGCGUCUAAUACUGGAUACGAGAAGGGUCCGCAUGGGCACUUUCUGGAAAGUUUUUCGGUUGGGGAUGGGCUCGCGGCCUAUCAGCUUGUUGGUGAGGUAAUGGCUCACCAAGGCGACGACGGGUAGCCGGCCUGAGAGGGCGACCGGCCACACUGGGACUGAGACACGGCCCAGACUCCUACGGGAGGCAGCAGUGGGGAAUAUUGCACAAUGGGCGAAAGCCUGAUGCAGCGACGCCGCGUGAGGGAUGACGGCCUUCGGGUUGUAAACCUCUUUCAGCAGGGAAGAAGCGAAAGUGACGGUACCUGCAGAAGAAGCACCGGCUAACUACGUG